rnacentral:rRNA from 1 species
UGCAUAUCAAUAAGCGGAGGAAAAGAAACCAACAGGGAUUGCCUUAGUAGCGGCGAGUGAACAGGCAAGAGCUCAGAUUUGAAAGCCCUCGGGCAUUGUAUUCUGAAGCCUUGGUCCUGAGAAUCGGUGUUUAAGUCUUCUGGAAAGGAGCGCCAUGGAGGGUGAUAGCCCCGUACGACACCACUCUCAUUGUAGGACUUUGGCAUGGAGUCGAGUUGUUUGGGAAUA